UUCACCAAUUAUACUUAAUAUUGGUAAAACAUUUCAUUUGCCAGCUUAUUUUUUCUCUCUUCCCGCUUUAGCGCAAUUCCCUAAAAUUGAAAAACAAAACAAAUUAUUUUUAAUAGGGUGCAGCAAUAUGAAGUACUGAGUUUAGGAAUUAAAAAAUAAUUUCAUCCGUAAAAAAAAAAUUCAAAACGGCAGUAAGAAACCUAGAACUAUCUUCUCGCCAUUUUCAUCUUCCCUGUAUAGAUCUCCAGCAAAAAACCUUUGCCAUCUCCAUUUUCAUUUUCGCCGAGCACAACAUUCCACAGAGAAGCUCCCUUUUCUACUGAAGUAUGUAAACAAAGCUCACACAAGGUUCAAGCUUCUUUCCGCCGCCUACCCCUCUCUGGUAUUCCGCCGUCGCCUACCCCUCUACGGUAUUCCGCCGCCGCUGUGUACUCCAUGAUUUCUACCCGAUAUUCUGCCGCCUACCCCUCUAUCUGGUUUAUCUUAAUUUAACAGGCUGAUCUGUAUAAGGUCUUUAAUUUUCAUCACUUUCAAAGAUUUGAGUUCAAUUAAACAAGGUGGACACAAAGGUAUAAUUUCUUCUACCUUAAUCUUUUUAACCAUCAUCUACUUAUAAUUUAUUCUUAUAAUUUGACAUUGUACAUAACUUCUCUAUUAACUUAUUAUUAUACUACGCUUUACAUGAAAUAUAUUAUAGCUUUGUUUUUUAUAUAAAUUAUGUGAUUCAUUUGGUGGCAUGUUUAAUAACUUAAAAAAUUUAAAAUAUAUGUAGGGUUGUCCUUAUGGACGUAUUUGUCAAUAAAAGUUGGGUAAAAUUGAACAGAACACAUGAUCAGUACCGGAGGUCAUUAACAUCAUUUCUAGAUCAUGCAUUUGCAACCAACGCAAAUCAAAACAAGAUUGCUUGUCCUUGUGGUAUUUGUGCUAAUCGGGCUUAUCAUGAAAGACACACUGUAAUGAAGCACAUGAUAAUUAAAGGAAUGGAUGUUGAUUAUCAAAAAUGUAUUUGGGUUUUUCAUGGAGAAUCAAACGUUGUUGAUAAUGAUGAUAUCUUUGAGGAUAAUUUUGAUGAUGGCAUUGAUAAUACCAGUGAAGAGGGUAUUUUUAAGAUGGUAGGAGAUGCUUUUGACUUUCAUGAAUCUACAACUAGUUCUUCUGCAAAAAAUGUUGAAGCUGAAGCAUUUUUUAAGUUACUUGAAGAUGCCGGGCAACCUUUAUAUAAUGGUUGUGAAGAGUUCACCAAACUGUCAUUCAUUGUUGAAAUGUACCAUUUAAAAUGUCUAUAUGGUGUAAAAGAUGUCGCGAUUGAUGCAUUAGUGAAAUUAUUUAAAAAAGCUCUUCCAAAAGAUUCCACAUUGCCAAACUCUUUAAAAAAGAUAAAAACAAUCAUUAAAAAACUUGGGUUAGAUUAUAAAAAGAUUGAUGUAUGCCCAAAUGAUUGUGUGCUUUUCUGGAAAGAUAAAAUUGGACUAGACAAUUGUCCAACUUGUGAUGAAUUGAGGUGGAAAACGGCAGAUGAUGGUACAAUAAUAGAGUUGGUUAAUGGUAAAAAAGUUCCAAAAAAAGUUUUGCGUUAUUUUCCCUUGAUACCUAGGCUAAAAAGACUAUUUAUGUCAUCUAAAACAUCUCAUAUCAUGCGUUGGCAUGCUGAUCAAGAAAAAGAUGAUAAAAUGAGGCAUCCUUCUGAUUCAUGUGUGUGGAAAGAAUUUGAUGUGAGAUACCCUGAUUUUGCUAGGGAUCCUCGAAAUGUGAGACUUGGUUUAAGUAGUGAUGGUUUCAAUCCUUUCGGAAUGAUGAGUACUCAAUAUAGUAUAUGGCCGAUUGUUUUAAUGACUUAUAAUUUACCUCCAUGGCUAUGUAUGAAACAACCAUAUUUCAUUCUUUCAUUGCUUAUACCAGGCCCUAAGGGUCCAGGAAACGGCAUUGAUGUGUUCUUGGAACCUCUAGUUGAUGAGUUAGAACUAUUGUGGAAGGUAGGUGUAGAAACUUAUGAUGCCUCAAAAUGUGAAACAUUCACAUUACAUGCAACCUUAAUGUACACCAUCAACGACUUCCCUGCCUAUGGUAAUCUCUCUAGUUUGCCACCAAAAGAUAAACGUGCAUGCCCUUAUUGUAAUGUUGAUACAUGUUGCAUGUAUCUUAAAGGAAGCAAAAAUAGUGUUACAUGAGGUAUCGUUGUCUCUUAAAAGAAAAUCAUGAGUUGCGCCAUAAUAAGAAAGCAUUUGAUGGGAAAGUUGAGUUGGCACCUCCUCCUAAAUCUUGGACCGGAUCAGAAUUGUUAGAGAAAAUGAAAUAUGUUGAUGUCAUAUUUGGAAAGCACCUUGAGACAAAAAUAAUUGAACCAACUAAACAAGCGUAAAAGGGGGGUUGAAAAAGUACCAUGGAAGAAGAAAAGCUCGUUUUUCAGGUUGGAGUAUUGGGAGCAUCAUCCUGUGCGUCAUAAUUUGGAUGUUAUGCAUAUAGAGAAAAAUGUUUCAGAGAGCAUCAUUGGCACACUUUUUGGCAUUGAAGGUAAAUCAAAAGAUACUACUAAAUCACGUAUUGAUCUAGUACAUUUUGUUAGGUUAUGAUACAUAUGACAAUUCAUAAAUCAUGCGGAAACAACCAUUUAGCCAGGAAUACAUAUUAUUUACACAUAAUCAUAUAGCAUAAUUUAGAUGCAUACUCUUUGUUGCGUGCCUUCCCUAGCUGCGCCCGAACCGAACAAGAACAAGUCUUUAGGACUCCAAGUGUCGUCCCUCCGUAGAUAGUCCACAGCACGUCCGGAUCCGACUUAAGAUUGACCAACUAGAAUCGCCCUUAAGGUACUAGAAUUUUCGGCACUCUUAGGUAAGAAAUAUGACUGAAUUUUUCUCUCGAAACUCACUUUGAAUACUUGAAUUAAUCUCUGAAAAUAUGUGACCCUAGGCACGUAUUUAUAGAGUUAUGGAAAGGGAAUUGAAAUCCUAGUAGGAUACGAAUUAAUUAAACUUAGAAUCCUACAAGAACUCUAAUUAAUUAAUUUAUCCUUUUAGGAAUAGGAAUUUAAUCAUAUACUAAUUCUAAUAGUUUUAGGAAUCGUGCAUGAACACAAACUCACACACACACGGCAGCCACAAGGGCCGCCCAUGUGCGUGCGUGCGAGCAGCAGCCCACGCAGCGAGGCCCACGCAGCCGUGGCCUUGGCGCGCGCUGGGCCUGCCUUGCGGUAGGCCUGGGCGCUGCCUUGGCUGGGCUUGUGGCGCGCGUUUGGCUUGCUGGGCGAUGGCCCGACUUCGUGCUGGGCCUUCGUCCGGCAGGCCUCGUCCGAUGCUAAUUCGUACGAUACGCUUCCGAUUAAAUUCCCGGUUCCGGAAUUCAUUUCCGAUACGAACAAUAUUUAAUAUUUCCGAUUCCGGAAUCAAUUUCCGUUUCGAACAAAUAUUUAAUAUUUCCGUUUCCGGAAUUAUUUUCCGAUUCCGAUAAUAUUUCCGAUUCUGACAAUAUUUCCGUUUCCGGCAAUAUUUCCGAUUCUGGUAAUAUUUCCAUUUCCGAUAAUAUUUUCCGAUACGUACCAUGUUUCCGUUUCCGGCAACAUCUACGACUUGGAUAAUAUUUAUAUUUCCGAUACGAUCCAUAUUUCCGUUUCCGGCAAUAUCAUCGUUUCCGGAGUAUUCAUUUCUUGCCUGUGACGAUCUCAGCUCCCACUGAAACCAAGAUCCGUCGAUUCCGAAUAUCCAUAGAUGGAGUAUCUAAUGCCAUUAAAUACUUGAUCCGUUUACGUACUAUUUGUGUGACCCUACGGGUUCAGUCAAGAGUAAGCUGUGGAUUAAUAUCAUUAAUUCCACUUGAACUGAAGCGGCCUCUAGCUAGGCAUUCAGCUCACUUGAUCUCACUGAAUUAUUAACUUGUUAAUUAAUACUGAACCGCAUUUAUUAGACUUAUCAUAGAAUGCAUACUUGGACCAAGGGCAUUAUUUCCUUCACAUUUGAACAUAAGGCAAAAUCUUCAUCCUCAAGAAGUUAGUGGGAAGAAGACAUACUUACCUCCAGCAAGUUUUACUUUAAGUAAGAAAGAAAAAGAAGAGAUGCUAGGUGUGUUAGCUUCUGUUCGAGUUCCAGAUGGGUAUGCAGCAAAUAUUAAAAGGCGGUUUAUUGACGGCAAACUUUCUGGCUUGAAAAGCCAUGACCAUCAUAUACUCAUGCAACAGUUGUUUCCAUUGGCUUUAAGAAAAAUGCAAAACAAAGACGUCAGUCGUGUUUUAAUUGAUAUUUGCAACUUUUUCAAGGAGUUGUGUUCUAAGGCUGCAACACCAGAAAACUCUGAGAAGUUAGAGAAACACAUUGUUGUGAUACUUUGCAAUGUGGAGCGUAUCUUUUUACCUGCCUUCUUUGAUGUUAUGGUACAUUUACUUGUGCAUUUUCCAUAUGAGGCAAAGAUACUUUGUCCCGUUUUUCAGCGUUCGAUGUAUCCCAUAGGAAGGUAUGUAACUUUAUAUUUAGUAGUAUCAUCAUAUGAUUUUUUACAAACUUCAAAUAUCUUAUUUAGAUUUUUAUGUGUUAGGUAUUUGAACACGUUGCAGUCAUAUGUUAGAAAUAAAAGUUGUCCGGAAGCAUCUAUUGCUAAUGGAGCCCUUGCUGUAGAGUGUCUUGGUUUUUGUGCUCGAUAUUUACAAGAUGUGGAAACAAGAGAAAAUAAAUGCUCGAGAAAUGAUGAGGGGCAUGGCGAUGACGUCGUAAAAGGAUUGUCUAUUUUUUCCUUAAAAUGCCGUGCAAUGUCCAAAAGAAGAAACUACAAGCCAGAUUAUUUUGUAAUUGAACAGGCCCAUAACUACGUAUUAGCUAAUUGCGAAGAAGUUCAACAAUAUUCAAGAUUGUUUGUGAUCAAUACCAGAAUACGCCGGACAUCAUUGAUGAUAUAUAUAGACAACAAUUUUCAAAAUGGUCUUCAAAUAAUCAGGUUAGAAUGUCUUCUUUGAAGAGAAAGGUGAUAACCCAGAAUCAAUUAGUGCAAAUGAGUGCUAAAAGUAUGAAUGAAAACAAAUUAUUAAGACGUAGUCCCAGGGGGACUACCUCUACCACACCCUCUACAUUGCUGCCUCCAAGUGCUCGACGGUCUCUUUUUCACAACAAACGCAGACACCUCUAUGCCUUCAAAAGAAGGAACUACUCCACAAACAUCGCUUGGCGGUAUUUAAUUAUGUAUUGUUUUUUAUGUGUGUGAAAUUGAAGAAAUAAAAUUUAAGCAUCCAUGUUGUUUUCCUGUAAGAAAAAUAUAUGCUUUGUGUUUAAAUGGAGUAUACUAAACUAUAAAAAUAACAAAAUUUUAGAGGAACUGGCAAUGAAGAGGUGGUCCAUGCUGCUUAACAGCAUGGGUACGUAAAUGAUUAUCGUGUGUGAAAUUUUUUGGAUUUAUAACUAGCAACGACUUGUUUUUCCACUUGGUAUCAUAUGUCAAGUAAUUUAAAUUUCUUAUCUUAAUUAAUAGCUCGACGUCGAGAACACCAAAAUUCACAAAGUCGUAAUGCUUGCAAUAAUCCACAAAAGGAUAAUCGUUCGCUGCAAAAUGAUGGCCAAGAUAAAAAUGUUCCUUCAAGUGUUCCUUCCGGAUUACGACGUAGUCCUAGACAUAUCAAUUCAGGAGGUCUCAACCAAGGUCUUAGUUCAGGAGGUCACAACUCAGGGCUCACUUCAGGAGGUCUCAACUCACAACUAGGAGGUUUCAAUCCAGGAGGUCUGAAUUUAUGUUUCAAUCAAGGAGGUCUGAAUUCACGAGGUCCCAGUCCAAGAGGUCUAGAAUCUGAUAUAUUUGCAAAUUUAAGUCAACCAACGCAAGAACAUGAAACAGAUGAUACAAGUCACAUGAUGCCCACACAAGGUGGUUAUAAUACCACAAAUAGAAGGAGAGUUCAAGCAACUCAACCAAGGAAUGAGAGGGGUCGUGGGGCUGAUAAGACCAAGAUUUUAAAGCAACGUGUAUUUGUUGAGGUAAAUGAAUACGGUCAACCCAUUAGUGAUAGUGAGAGGUAGUUAUCCUCAUUAAUUGGUUGUCUAGCACGGGAUCCUAGAACAUUGCAGCUAGAUUGUUGGGACUGGAGGUUGUUAAGUCAAAAGAAAAAAGAUGACUUGUGGGAAGAAGA